rnacentral:tRNA from 1 species
GUCGCUGCGGCGCGCGGCCUCGGCGUUGUCGGCGCCCUCGACGCCGUGGCCGAGUUCCCCGGCGGCGGUCCGGGCCCGCUCGGCGGCGC